rnacentral:ribozyme from 14 species
GCACCGUCAACAUUGAUACCCGAAAAAAUAAAAAAAGAAAAAAAAAAAAAAAAAAGAAUAGAAAGAAAG